GAUUUGGACCUGUCACUUGUUUAAACUGCCUGAUUUAGCUCUAGGAGCCGUUAUAAAAUUGUACUGUCGCAGUAUCCUCGAGACGAGUACUCCAGAUAGUUUAGCAUACAUUUACACUCGUGCUGGUACGCCGAGUGGAUUUUUACAGGAUCGUUUGGGCUGUUCCGAACUAUUGGGUGCCGUCAGGUUGACGGUGGACCCGAAUCGCCUUUUUGGCGACAGAUUGUGCCAAGGGCACAUGAACGGUUGGUUGUUAGACCAG
rnacentral:lncRNA from 1 species